rnacentral:rRNA from 1 species
UAGUCCACGCCGUAAACGAUGUCAACUAGCCGUUGGAGGACUUGAUCCUUUAGUGGCGCAGCUAACGCGAUAAGUUGACCGCCUGGGGAGUACGGCCGCAAGGUUAAAACUCAAAUGAAUUGACGGGGGCCCGCACAAGCGGUGGAGCAUGUGGUUUAAUUCGAUGCAACGCGAAGAACCUUACCAGGUCUUGACAUCCUCGGAACUUUCCAGAGAUGGAUCGGUGCCUUCGGGAGCCGAGUGACAGGUGCUGCAUGGCUGUCGUCAGCUCGUGUCGUGAGAUGUUCGGUUAAGUCCGGCAACGAGCGCAACCCACAUCUUUAGUUGCCAGCAGUUCGGCUGGGCACUCUAAAGAAACUGCCCGUGAUAAGCGGGAGGAAGGUGUGGAUGACGUCAAGUCCUCAUGGCCCUUAUGGGCAGGGCUACACACGUGCUACAAUGGCCAGUACAGAGGUUGCCAACCCGCGAGGGGGAGCUAAUCUCAGAAAGCUGGUCGUAGUCC